UACGUAGGGGGCAAGCGUUGUCCGGAAUCAUUGGGCGUAAAGAGCGUGUAGGCGGCUCGGUAAGUCCGCUGUGAAAGCCCCGGGCUCAACCUGGGAAUUGCAUUCGAGACUGCAUGGCUUGGGUGCGGAAGAGGGAAGCGGAAUUUCCGGUGUAGCGGUGAAAUGCGUAGAUAUCGGAAGGAACACCAGUGGCGAAAGCGGCUUCCUGGUCCGACACCGACGUUCAGGCACGAAAGCGUGGGGAGCAAACAGG
rnacentral:rRNA from 1 species